UCUUCUUCUUGUUGUUGUUUUCGUCGUAUUGCAUUUUCAAUUUAUUUUUGUGUUUGUAUGGUCGUACACAAGUUAUAAUUACUUAUCUAUCGAUUAUCGAAUGAGAAAUUUUUUUUUUUGGCAAUAACCAAUCCGCUAUAUAACAUUUUAGAACACAGAGAGCGAGAUAACGAUUAAUCGAAUUGAAAAAAAAAAAUCGUCAAACGAUUCGAUUCGAUUCGAUUUGAAUCUGAAUCGAACGAUUUUUUUUUCUUCGUUUUUUGUUGACACUGUUGUUUGAACAUUGAAAAUAAAAGGUGAUCUAAGGUGAAUGGACAUUAAAUCAAGAAAUUCAAACCUGAUUCAGUGAUUGGUCCAUAUUCUGUUUGAUUUUCAUUUUUUUUUCGCUUCAUCUGCAAUCAUUUUCCAUGGAAUUAUUAUCAUCAUUAUCAUUCAUCGUGUUCAACAAUUCAACAAGUGUGUUUAAAAAUGAUUUAACAUUGAAAUUUGUCAGUCAUUUCAUUGUGAAAAAAAUACAAGAAAAUCUGUCCAAAACAACAAAAUACCAGAAUCCAUAUCCAUCCAAAAUUUCACCACAUCUAUGGCCACCACCACCACCACCACUAUCAUCAUCAUACGAAAAUGAAUAUAUCAAUCAAUUAUUAACCAAUAUUGAUUGUGUUUUACCAUCCAUCCACCCAUCAAUUCAUAUACCGAUUGAUUUUGUUAAUAAUCGAUUAUUAUUGAACAAAACACCCACCAUAUAUACUUUUACAUUGACAAGAAAAAAAUAAAAGAUUUUCUGGAUGUCUUUGAGGAAAGACAACAACAACAGCAACAACAAAAAAUAUCUAGACUCUCUCUCUCUCUCUCUCUCUCUCUCUCUCUCGUUUUCCAUGAUCAUGAUGAUGAUGAUGAUCGAAUCACAAUUUCUCUUGUUUCAUAGUUGUUGGCAAAUUGAAUAAAUGAAAUGAAUGAAUGAAUAUUAUGAACAAAGUCUACACCACCACACAUCACUAGUAUCGGCAUCUCAUUUUCUCUCUAUGAUGAUGAUGAUUUCUUCUCUUCAUAUUUUUGUUUUCACGGUAGAUACGAUAUUGUCGCGAAAUGACAACGACAACAACAACAACAGAAAAAAAAAUUGUCUUUUUUCUUCUUGACUUUUGUUCCUCCACCUAAACUGCUGUAUGGAUGUUUGGAUUCAAUUUUCCUUGUCUCUCUUUCUUAAUUUUUUUUUAAAGAUGCUUUUCUGUGAUCAAUCAAUCAAUCAAUCGAUGUAUUGAUUUGGUUCAAUUUAUUAAACUUGAUGAUGUUCAUUAAUGUUGAUUAUUGAUUGUAGUGAUUGAUGAUGAUUGUGAAAGUUAUCGAAUUUCGGGCAUUUUUUUCGUGCAUAUCAUUUUAUUGGAAAGUACCGGAUAGUAUGAAUGAAUAACACACACAAGCAUCAUUUGGUUAUUGGUUUUCAAAUCCUUCCGAUAUAGACGAAAAUCAAUUUUUUUUCUGUGAAAAAAAAUUCAUUAAUCAAUCAAUUCGAUGGAAUCAUCAUCAUCACUAUACAACACACCGGUCAUGUGCCUACGGACAAACAUCCUACCGGUCAGGUUGAACAUAAAAAUUGUUUAGCGUGUUCUUGUUUUGUCUGUUGAAACAUCAUCCAUGCACAUCUGAAAAAUGAUGAAAACUGAUGC